rnacentral:rRNA from 1 species
UACGGAGGGUGCAAGCGUUAUCCGGAUUCACUGGGCUUAAAGGGUGCGUAGGCGGGCAGGCAAGUCAGUGGUGAAAUCUCCGAGCUUAACUCGGAAACUGCCGUUGAUACUAUUUGUCUUGAAUACUGUGGAGGUAAGCGGAAUAUGUCAUGUAGCGGUGAAAUGCUUAGAUAUGACAUAGAACACCAAUUGCGAAGGCAGCUUACUACGCAGUUAUUGACGCUGAGGCACGAAAGCGUGGGGAUCAAACAGG